UUAUUAUUAUUAUUCUUCCGUACCUUUUUUGGCCCUUUUCAACUCCUCACCACUUUGUGCUAUUUUCACCAUUCAAACUUUAUACUAAUGCACUCCUUCAGGACAUUACGGCUAUUACUUUUCACCUUUCUACCAUUUAUACUUUUUGCAAUAUUUCACUUUUUCUGCAAAAUUUGUUCCAUUACAAAUGAAUGGAGAUACAGCUAUAACACCUUCUCACCCUUAUAACUUCUGCAUACUUUCACCUACAGACCUCAUUUUUGCUUUAAAAUGUUCAGCAACGUGUCUGCUACAAAUGUUGUAUUCACUCCUUUUUGCUAUUUCCUACCGUUUUUGCACAAUUUCGCUUGGAGCAACAUGAAGUUCUCUGCCUUUUUCAGCCUGACUCACGCUACAGCGUGUGACGUCAGAUGUUACGUCACCGCUAGAUGCGGGCGGGGCCUUUUGGAUUCACUACACCAAGCAUGAUUAUUUUGCUGCUGCGGCCGCAAUUUUCACUCCACAGCCAUAAAAAACACAUCAAAAUGGAGGUACACUCGUCCUGCUUCUCACAAAAUCGGUCUGAAGUCAUGAAAUUGUACAGCUUGCCCAGGAGGUGAGUACAUUCCUUCAGAGCCAGAGAUUCUGCACUUGUCAUGGGCUGUCUGCUUCGAUCGCACACGCACAUGCACACGCACGGACUCGGCCGCUCGUGCGCGCGCGGGCACACACACAUACACACACACUGUUUCCAUGAGUGCAUUACUGUGUCUCUUUCUCUCUUACUGUCUCUGUCAGAUUCUGCACUUGUCAUGGGCUGUGUGCUUCGAUCACACACGCAUAUGCACACGCACUGGCUCGGCCGCGCGCGCGCGCGGGCACACACACACACACACACACACACACACACACACACACACACACACACUGUUUCCAUGUGUGCAUUACUGUCCCUCUGUCAGUAGAAAAUACAGCCCCAAUAUGAACUUUGUUGUUACAGUUCUUGUCUUUAACUCUUUUAACAUACUAACUUCUUCUUUUUCUUCUACUUCUGCUUUUCUUUUCUAUACUUUCUACAUUUAUACAAUUAAUUUAACUUCAGCUGUUUCAUACUUUCUGCAUUCAGAUGUAGGGCAGUAACUGAAGCAGGGCAAUAGAUGGUGCUGUUCUGCAUUCUCAAGUUACUAUGGUUGGAUGCUGCAGACUGCAAAAAUCUGUUUUACUAUUUGUACAUUUAAUAGGAACAUUGUUACACAUUGUUUAAAGGCAUUUGUUUUUCAAAUUCAAUUAUCCAUAUCAGUUCUGUUUAUUCACAUCAAUCAUAUACAUUUUUCACUUAGGCUAUCAGACAAUUUGUACAUUAAUCCAACUAAUUUACCUCCAGCUAUACUACAAUUCUUCCAUUCAUACAAUUUCUUCUUCUUCUACUCCACCUUUUCUACAGUUUUUCCGUUUAUACCUUCCUCCAUUUUUUAUUGGCAGUUUUGCAUUGCUUUUUCAGCUUUCAGCACUCAGCAUUUCCACGCAUUUUCUGCAAGGAAAUGCAAUUUUUCUAGUUAAGUGGAAAUGCUGAUAGGCAUUUCCACUUAUUGUUAUUCUCCUGUUUCUUUAUUAUUAUUAUUAAGUGGAAAUGCUGAUAGGCAUUUCCACUUAUUGUUAUUCUCCUGUUUCUUUAUUAUUAUUAUUAUUAUUAUUAUUAUUAUUAUUAUUUUUCUUCCGCCAUUUUUUGGCACUUUAUAACUCUUCUCCACUUUGUGCGAUUUCAACCGUUCAAACUUUAAACUAUUCCUCUCCUUCAGGACAUGACGGCGAUUACUUUUCACUUUUCUACCCUUUAUACUUUUUGAUUUUUUUAACUUUUUAUGCAAAAAUUUUAACAUUGAAGUCAAUGGGGAAAUCUUCCAAUUCUUCCUGUUUUUCUUCCACCUUCUGAACCUUGUAACUUCUGCAUACUUUCACCUAGAGACCUCAUUUUUGCUUUAAAAUGUUCAUUCACUUGUCGACUAUUACAGUUGUACUCAGUUUUUUGAUAUCUCUUACAGUUUUUCCACAAUUUAGCUUUAAGCAACUUGUGGUUUUCAGCAAAUUUCAAGCUUUAUAAUGGGUGUGUAUUGGAGAGUUUAGAGUGGUGAUGUCAUCAGCUAGAGUGCAGACCUCGUCUCUGAUCGACAGAACCUCGCUCGAAUAUAUCGCUCCCACGCCCACAAAUCUCACUCCACUGACACAAAUAAUACAUCAAAAUGGAGGUAUAUGUGUCCUGCUUCUCACAAAAGAGGUUUCAAAUCAUUAAAUCGUACCCCUUGGCCAGCAGGUGACCAACUGUCCAAAAAAGGCGGAAAUCUCUCCCAUUGACUGUAAUGUUAUUUUUCUCCAAGAAAAUCCGGAUCAUCGCUCAAGCUCAGACUUUUUUAACUCGCUGUUGUGGCCUCAUUUUUCGAAGUACAGACAUGAAAAACACAUCAUUGUGUUCAUGAAGGACGGAGGAUUCGUACGAUGUUCUUAUUUUCAUUCUGGGACUUAAGGAAAUCACGCUAUGUGAAGAAGUUCACAGGCUGAAAUUCACUGCAGUUCAGCACCUCUCAGUCAAACAGUAGGUUAGUGAUUUGCCUUUGAUCUCACAGCUGUUUAGGAUGCAGUCAUUAACGAGACACACACACACACACGCACACACACCUUCUUGUACUUGUUGCUUUUUGAGGUCCACCUUGCAGUUCAGCUGCUUGUACACACAGUUAAUAUGUGUCUGCUUCACCACCUAUCUCCACCCACAAACUUUGAGCAACAGAAACCAUUCUGGGCUUCAAAAAUUCAGCUCAUUGAAGAUAUUAUGGGGUGUUUUGAGGAUUGUGAUAAUAAAUUGUAUUAAUGUGUUCAGCAGAGUCUUGUGUUCUCACAAGCUCCUUAUGAAUAUAUACAGAGGGUGAGCGUCAGGGCCUACUUGGAGUCCUGUUUCUUUAGCUUCAAGCCUUCUUUCUCCUGCUAUAGUUAUGCAUCCAAGGUCCCCAUGGCAACCAAUUUGUGCACCUGGAGACACACAGCUGACUGGAAAGCUGCUUCUAGUGGCCAUAUGAGACACAUGAAGCCAGGCUCAGUACACAUAGCAAUUGGGAUGACACUUAAAACCCUUUCCUAGAGCGUUGGAAAAAACUUCAGCCCCAAUCCCCUCACAUGACCUUUGACCUACAGAAACCAUUCAGGGCUUUGAAAUUUAAGCUCAUUGAGGACAUUAUUGGGUGUAUUUAGGAUUGUUAUUCAUUUAAAUUUUUCACAUUUUAAAAGUCAGUCAGUGAUGAUUUAUCAUUUAAUUUUUCAAACUAAUUUAAACUCAUUCAAACUGAUUCAAACCUUUCUAAUACUUCAAAACUUUCUGAUACUUGAGGACUUUUGAUAAUUUAAAAUUUCCCUGUUUUAAAUUAGUUUUAAUAUUUAUGCAUUACUCCAUCAUUCAAACAAAAUCCUACCUCAAGUACGACAACUACUGCUAAUGUCAAUUAAACUAGAACUUUCCCC